AAGACCUUGCGCUUUUGGAGCGGCCGAUGCCUGAUUAGCUUGUUGGUAAGGUAAAAGCUUACCAAGGCUUCGAUCAGUAGCUGGUCUGAGAGGACGACCAGCCAUACUGGGACUGAGACACGGCCCAGACUCCUACGGGAGGCAGCAGUGGGGAAUUUUGGACAAUGGGGGCAACCCUGAUCCAGCCAUGCCGCGUGAGUGAAGAAGGCCUUCGGGUUGUAAAGCUCUUUCAGCCGGAACGAAACGGUUACGGAUAACACCCGUGACUACUGACGGUACCGGAAGAAGAAGCACCGGCUAACUACGUGCCAGCAGCCGCGGUAAUACGUAGGGUGCGAGCGUUAAUCGGAAUUACUGGGCGUAAAGCGUGCGCAGGUGGUUUUGUAAGUCAGAUGUGAAAGCCCCGGGCUCAACCUGGGAACU
rnacentral:rRNA from 1 species